rnacentral:rRNA from 1 species
CAGCCGCCGCGGUAAUACCGGCGGCCCGAGUGGCGGUCACUAUUAUUGGGCUUAAAGCGUCCGUAGCCGGGUUGGGAAGUCCUCCGGGAAAUCUGGCCGCUUAACGGUCAGAAUGCCGGAGGAUACUCCCAGCCUAGGGGGCGGGAGAGGCCGAGGGUAUUCCCGGGGUAGGGGGGAAAUCCUAUAAUCCCGGGAGGACCACCUGUGGCGAAGGCGCUCGGCUGGAACGCGUCCGACGGUGAGGGACGAAGGCCAGGGGAGCAAACCGGAUUAGAUACCCGGGUAGUCCUGGCUGUAAACGAUGCGGACUUUGUGUCGGACAAGCUAUGAGCUUGUCCGGUGCCGGAGGGAAACCGUUAAGUCCGCCGCCUGGGGAGUACGGCCGCAAGGUUGAAACUUAAAGGAAUUGGCGGG